rnacentral:lncRNA from 12 species
GAACCUCGCACACACUCCCAUUGUGACACGGGCGCGACCUCGACCGUCCCCCCCGCGGGCAUAGACUCAAACCCAAAUUAUUCUCGGUCCACGUUUACAGAUGUUAGCCCGUGUUCCAUUUUUAACUGUGACGUAGGCACGUGCACUGGUUGCCCAGGAGACACGAAUCUGGGCAAACGCGGCAGAAAAGUGCCUGAGGAAGGGCAGAUGUGUUUCCCGGAGGUCCUGCUCACGCACAGCCUCCGAGCUCCCCGUCAGUGCCCUCCCCCAGCCGCAGAGCCCCAGGUACAACUCAAAAUGUAAGUAGAAUAUAAGUUCUGUGAUGAAAAUAAGUGUUAACACGAAGUGCUGUGAGUCAAAGGCAGGAUGUGAGUAUUUAGCUUCAAACUGAAUUCAAGCUUUCCUUACCUCUUUCCACUCCAGUAUCACUGAAAUUAAAACAUAUUAUCCUUCAAUUUGCAGAUAUCUGAGCAAACUUCCUUAUAAGAUUCUAAUGUUUAAACCAAAAAUGGAGUUUUGGAGCCCAUAAAGCUGAGAGCUACCCUGUGGACCUUGGAGAGCCACUCUAUAAAGCUCUGUUUGAAUGGUCAGUUGAUCUCUCCUGGACAUCUCUAUUUUAUUCUCUCUCUAAACUCAACACUGUCUUUAUUAUCUUUAUUGCAAAUCUGAACUGUGCUGCUGUGCCAAGACCCUGUCAAGUUAUACUCUAGAUUGAGUUUUCUUAGUCUGCUUGUAUAAACUUUGAAAAAUGGAGAACAAAAUCUUCCUCUCACUUUUCCUUGUUGUUUCGUUCCUUAUAGGAUAGAUAAAUUACAGUGUUACACACAUUGAAGAUCCUUGAUAAGCUGAGCUAUAGGAAAAUAAUUUUUGGUAUCAUUCCCAGAAUCAGCAACAACAAAAAUUUACUUUUACAUAUGACUGGUACAAAUGGUCAUAGUGGAAUGCAUAAAGAGGCUUCAGGGAAUGGGAAGAGAGAUCCUGUGAACAAUUCUCCAACCUAGAGGAUACGAAUGUUGUAUGUGCAUUGCUCUGGAAAAAGGGUCGCUAGCAAUUAAAUAGUUAAACCUUGAGUGAACACAGGCAGCAGCUGGAAGAAGUGUUUAUAGUACAAGGCAGGAAGCCCGAGAGUCAGUGACUUCUGCUGGCAGGAAAGAGUAGAAGGCGGAGGGAGAGCAGAGCAGGGCAUCAGAUUUUUAGUUGUUCUCGGCCUGGAAGACUUUCUUUCAAAAUUUGAAGCCAGAUAUGGGCCAGAAAACUUCUCCUAUUGUUGCACAAAGGAUGAAAAGGUGCUGAGUGCACAUGG